GGCCCAGUAGCUCCGUUGGUUAGAGCGUUGUCCUGAUAUGCCAAGGUUGUGGGUUCGAUCCCCAGCUAGGGCA
rnacentral:tRNA from 1 species